rnacentral:rRNA from 1 species
GCGGCGUGCUUAACACAUGCAAGUCGAACGGAAAGGCCCUGCUUUUGUGGGGUGCUCGAGUGGCGAACGGGUGAGUAACACGUGAGUAACCUGCCCUUGACUUUGGGAUAACUUCAGGAAACUGGGGCUAAUACCGGAUAGGAGCUCCUGCUGCAUGGUGGGGGUUGGAAAGUUUCGGCGGUUGGGGAUGGACUCGCGGCUUAUCAGCUUGUUGGUGGGGUAGUGGCUUACCAAGGCUUUGACGGGUAGCCGGCCUGAGAGGGUGACCGGCCACAUUGGGACUGAGAUACGGCCCAGACUCCUACGGGAGGCAGCAGUGGGGAAUAUUGCACAAUGGGCGGAAGCCUGAUGCAGCAACGCCGCGUGCGGGAUGACGGCCUUCGGGUUGUAAACCGCUUUCGCCUGUGACGAAGCGUGAGUGACGGUAAUGGGUAAAGAAGCACCGGCUAACUACGUGCCAGCAGCCGCGGUGAUACGUAGGGUGCGAGCGUUGUCCGGAUUUAUUGGGCGUAAAGGGCUCGUAGGUGGUUGAUCGCGUCGGAAGUGUAAUCUUGGGGCUUAACCCUGAGCGUGCUUUCGAUACGGGUUGACUUGAGGAAGGUAGGGGAGAAUGGAAUUCCUGGUGGAGCGGUGGAAUGCGCAGAUAUCAGGAGGAACACCAGUGGCGAAGGCGGUUCUCUGGGCCUUUCCUGACGCUGAGGAGCGAAAGCGUGGGGAGCGAACAGGCUUAGAUACCCUGGUAGUCCACGCUGUAAACGGUGGGUACUAGGUGUGGGGUCCAUUCCACGGGUUCCGUGCCGUAGCUAACGCUUUAAGUACCCCGCCUGGGGAGUACGGCCGCAAGGCUAAAACUCAAAGGAAUUGACGGGGCCCCGCACAAGCGGCGGAGCAUGCGGAUUAAUUCGAUGCAACGCGUAGAACCUUACCUGGGUUUGACAUGGAUCGGGAGUGCUCAGAGAUGGGUGUGCCUCUUUUGGGGUCGGUUCACAGGUGGUGCAUGGCUGUCGUCAGCUCGUGUCGUGAGAUGUUGGGUUAAGUCCCGCAACGAGCGCAACCCUUGUUCACUGUUGCCAGCACGUUAUGGUGGGGACUCAGUGGAGACCGCCGGGGUCAACUCGGAGGAAGGUGGGGAUGACGUCAAGUCAUCACGCCCCUUAUGUCCAGGGCUUCACGCAUGCUACAAUGGCUGGUACAGAGAGUGGCGAGCCUGUGAGGGUGAGCGAAUCUCGGAAAGCCGGUCUCAGUUCGGAUUGGGGUCUGCAACUCGACCUCAUGAAGUCGGAGUCGCUAGUAAUCGCAGAUCAGCAACGCUGCGGUGAAUACGUUCCCGGGGCUUGUACACACCGCCCGUCAAGUCAUGAAAGUUGGUAACACCCGAAGCCGGUGGCCUAACCGUUGUGGGGGAGCCGUCGAAGGUGGGACUGGUGAUUAGGACU